UCAAUGGACCAAGCCCUUUUUUUUUUUGGCUUCCUUGUGACUUUUUGUUGAAAACUGGCCCUUUGACACUAAUAAUGUGGUAACUCCGGAACUCAGAUCCUCCCCCUCCCCCGUUUCCUCUCUCCAUUAUUGUGACCAUUAGUAGUAGUAUUGGCCGUCUCUGUGGCAGGGGUCAGCCUGGGGUGGGAAGUUGAAGCCUGAGCACUCUUCUGAGUCUGUUCCUUUCCCUGGGCAUGGGCAGUGAAUUUCAAAUUUGCGGUUGAUUUUGAUGUCCUAGAUAUUAAAUGUCUAGCUCCCAAAAUGGUAGAGAGAGAUGAGGGGUGGCGAGGGCUGGCAACAGUGGCCAUGACCUCUGUGCACCGCUAUGAGAAGCAGUCAUGAGAGCACAAACUUGCCACAUGGAGAAAAUCCCUGUAUGAUGAGAAGCGGAAGUCACACCGCAGAUCUCCCAUAAGUCUAUGCACCUCUGUGAUCAGAACCUGUCGUCAGAGCACGGAUCUCACAGGUGGAGGACAGGGUCCCUUUUGCUCACUGGCUCCGUCCAGCUGUGUGCAGGCUGCUCCAGGAGUGUGUGCCCCACAGCUGCCUGUGGUGGGCUGCAGGACUGGAGAUGGGGAGCCUUAGUGCACUCAGCUGAAAUGAACCACAUACCCCUGGGUACUGCCACGUUCCAGGCUGUGGCGUUCUAAGGUUUCCAUCAGACGAGUUCCGGCCACACAGUUGUCGUCUAGGAGGAGGCAGACUGGCGCUUCCUUCUCCCUCACCUGAAUCCUCUCCCUUGAUACCUUUGCUGUUAACGCCAUGUCUUCUUUCAACCACGUUGACGCUUAUUUUUGCCACUUUUUUUUUUUUUUUUAAUGUCAUAUGUGAUAUUCCAAGGCCCAGCAAGAAACAGAAGGCGUGGUCAGCUGUGGUAACGAAGGAAAAUCUGACGCAGAAGAUGCUCACAUACAGGCAGGGUCAGGUCUCUCCCUGGACAGAAAAACUGCGUUUUCACACGGGACCACCCUGCAUCAGAACGGGAGAGAGCAGAUGGACAUUGGGAAGUCACCCCCGUCAGACCGUGCUGAAUACACUUUUCAUAUUCUGGUGAACAAACGCCAGCUCCUGGGCCUUGACUGACUAGUGUCUGUUCAGACUUAACGCUUGCUGUGGAUUCGAGAACUGCCUUGGGAAAGCCAGCUGAACUUGCGAUGUGGCCUCCCGCGGCAUCAUGGCCAGAGAUCGGGUUCACUGUAACACGCACGGUGUUAAGGGGUCCCUAAGGGCACACUGAGCAUGGGCUCUAGGCUGAGUGGGCGUCAUACUAGUUAAUGAAACACUGCAAUCUCUUAACGCAGCACUUUGCCUCUUUCAGCUCCCAACCAAGUAACAUUUCGUAGCUGCUUGAUUGUGCAGAACGUCCUGCAGUGCCUUUAUGAUAAGGUCGAGUCAUCAGCAAGUUCCUCAAGGAACUGGGUUGAUGUCUGAGACUGAUAAAGACACUCCAUUACCAGCCCAGCAAGCAGCUGCCGAGCCUGGUUGUCCAGCCCUGCCUUCCUCACUCGCCCCGCCCGCAACAGCCCAGCCUUCGUCUGCACUCCCUAAAAGCUCCGGAGCGCCCCACUGGUCAGGACGGCAGCUCUGGAGAGCCCAGUCUGCUACCUUCCUCAACCCCUGGUGGAUUAAACCUUCUCCUCCUGGGUGCUCCUACAUGGGAUGUGGGUGCCCCAAGCAGUGGCUUAGCCUGUGCCCCACGGCUGUCCCCGGAUAUUUCACUAAGUUAGGUCUCAUCUGUGAUCUGCCUAUUAGCCUUUAUGAGUGAUCAGUUGCUCUUUGUACAUUGUCCAGAGUUUUCAGUUGUAAUCUGUCAGAGCAGUAGGCUGCAGUGAGCUUACUCCACCUUGUCCAGCACCCGCACUCUCUCCUUUGUUUUGGAAAAAUGCUUUGCUGAGUAUGAAAAUCUGUGUAUAGUCUACACAGCUGUCACGUCAUCGUCUUCCCUGUCAUCUGACUUGCAUGGCAGAUGUGCUGUACUUCUUACCCUGUUCCGCUGUGUGCAACGUGCCAUUGUUUCUCUUUCUUCAGAUGUUUUCUUAUCUCUGGUUUUUAGCACUUUGAAAAUGAUGGACCUUUGACAAACUAAA